AAAAACUCAUGGUGUCCGCUGGCAGAAACAGGAAGUGGAGUGGGGGAUAUGCCAGCCAUGGCCUGAAACCAGUGUCCAAGAGGCAGUGGAGGAUGCUGGAUAGAGCAUGAGGUUCGACAUCAGGAGACCAGGAUGGAACCUCUCCCGUACUGUCACCUACUGAGUCAGCUUGAAUAAAUGACGAACCUCUCUGCGUCUCAGUUAUGUAUCUGGAGAAAAUAGGUAAGCUAGUGCUUUGUCAACUAAGGUUCUUUAUGAAUGUGAGGUAAGCAUGAUAAAGGAGUGUAGAUUGCAGGAACUGGCAGGACCUGACUUGAGUCGGUCAUGCUUCUCUGUACCCCGUGUUGUAGAGAAUCAAUCCAUUUCAAACUGGUGUGGAGCCCCAUGACAGACACAGCAGACACAGAGGGAACAGGAGCUGGGCCCAAGACUCGUGGUGGGGCCUCUCCCCUGACUUCCUGGAGGAUGAGCCCAGCACAAAGAUGGAUCCGAAAGACACUGUUCACUGGCUCACUCAGCCCUGUUCCUAAUACCCUCUCUUGCCUACCUCCACCAUAGAAGCUAAAAGGUCAAACAUCUGCUUUCCAGGCCUCCUUUGCCCCCAGGGAAGGACAUGUGACAGGAUUCUAGCCAACGAGUCUUAUCAAUGGAUAAGAGAAGUCAGCUAGGGAGCUUUGGGGAAAUAUUUGCUUUAUACUUUGUGCAAACCAGAACUGGAUUUAGUCUCUAACGGCUAAUUUUCUUAGGAUAUAUAAUGCACUCUUAAAUAACCAUAAAU
rnacentral:lncRNA from 1 species